UACGGAGGGUGCAAGCGUUAUCCGGAUUCACUGGGUUUAAAGGGUGCGUAGGUGGGUUGGUACGUCCGUGGUGAAAUCCCUGAGCUUAACUCAGGAACUGCCGUGGAUACUAUCAGUCUUGAAUGCUGUGGAGGUAAGCGGAAUAUGUCAUGUAGCGGUGAAAUGCUUAGAUAUGACAUAGAACACCAAUUGCGAAGGCAGCUUGCUACACGGUUAUUGACACUGAGGCACGAAAGCGUGGGGAUCAAACAGG
rnacentral:rRNA from 1 species